rnacentral:rRNA from 1 species
UACGGAGGGUGCAAGCGUUAUCCGGAAUCACUGGGUUUAAAGGGUGCGUAGGCGGCUAAAUAAGUCAGAGGUGAAAGCUUGCAGCUUAACUGCGAAAUUGCCUUUGAUACUGUAUAGCUUGAAAGGAGCUGAGGUCAGCAGAAUGUGGCAUGUAGCGGUGAAAUGCAUAGAUAUGCCAUAGAAUACCAAUUGCGAAGGCAGCUGGCGGGGCUUACUGUGACGUUGAGGCACGAAAGCGUGGGGAUCGAACAGG